rnacentral:rRNA from 1 species
AGUGAACGCUGGCGGUAGGCCUAACACAUGCAAGUCGAACGGCAGCACAGUAAGAGCUUGCUCUUACGGGUGGCGAGUGGCGGACGGGUGAGGAAUACAUCGGACUCUACUUUUUCGUGGGGGAUAACGUAGGUAAACUUACGCUAAUACCGCAUACGACCUACGGGUGAAAGCAGGGGAUCUUCGGACCUUGCGCGAUUGAAUGAGCCGAUGUCGGAUUAGCUAGUUGGCGGGGUAAAGGCCCACCAAGGCGACGAUCCGUAGCUGGUCUGAGAGGAUGAUCAGCCACACUGGAACUGAGACACGGUCCAGACUCCUACGGGAGGCAGCAGUGGGGAAUAUUGGACAAUGGGCGCAAGCCUGAUCCAGCCAUACCGCGUGGGUGAAGAAGGCCUUCGGGUUGUAAAGACCUUUUGUGGGGAAAGAAAAGCAGCAGGUUAAUACCCCGCUGUUCUGACGGUACCCAAAGAAUAAGCACCGGCUAACUUCGUG